rnacentral:rRNA from 1 species
UACGGGGGGGGCAAGCGUUGUUCGGAAUUACUGGGCGUAAAGCGCACGUAGGCGGAUAUUUAAGUCAGGGGUGAAAUCCCAGAGCUCAACUCUGGAACUGCCUUUGAUACUGGGUAUCUCGAGUGUGGAAGAGGUGAGUGGAAUUCCGAGUGUAGAGGUGAAAUUCGUAGAUAUUAGGAAGAACACCAGUGGCGAAGGCGGCUCACUGGUCCGGUACUGACGCUGAGGUGCGAAAGCGUGGGGAGCAAACAGGGAUUAGAAACCC